rnacentral:misc_RNA from 1 species
GAUGAAGAACGUAGCGAAAUGCGAUAAGUAGUGUGAAUUGCAGAAUUCCGUGAAUCAUCGAAUCUUUGAACGCACAUUGCGCCUUCUGGUAUUCCGGAAGGCAUGCCUGUUCGAGAGUCAUUAACAACCGUUUCGAUCCCUUUCUUUCAGAAAUUACAAAGAGGAAAAGGGUUUGGUUAUGGUGGAGGAGGGAAAGGGAGCGUUUAGCCUGUAAAAAAAGAGGCUGUGUUCCGCCUCCCCCCCAAAAUUGUACAGGCGGUCGUGUGCGCCCACGCAUCGAGGUGUUGUAAAAGCUGCCACGGCACUUUUCACCUGUGCAGUGCGAGAUUGGCCAGCCGGUUUAAAAACCCCUCCAAACAAUCAAAGGUUGACCUCGGAUCAGGUAGGGAUACCCGCUGAACUUAAGCAUAUCAAUAAGCGGAGG